CCAAAAUUAUUUUUGUAGGCUGCCCUUCAUAAGAACUCAAGGUCUGUGUUUACUAAUAGCAUGAAACAGAUUAUUAUCGUGUUCCUCUUAGGUACAACAAAAUGGUGAAGUUGCCCCAGCUUUGAUGGAUUUCUUUGUUCUAGCUAGUAGCAAGUUUUAAGUUGUUUACUAGUGCAGCUCUCCUAAGAGAGCAGUGAUUCUGGCAGUCCGAGGGGGCAACAGCAAAUCAAAGAUGGGGGCCCAUACCCUGGCGGCAGGGGGAUUAUCAGGCCUAAGGACAAGCACAUUUCUAGGAAUGUGGUUUCUGCAGAAUACAAUAUUCACACAUCGAAGUGAGUAGUCAUGACAUUAUAAAAGUGAAAUCAGAAGGGAGGAGUGGGGAUAGAGUAUGGUGAAUUUCCUUCAAUCGCAAUUGAACACAAUCAGCUUCUUCCUGCCUAAAAAUUAUGGUCCUACCUCACAUUUCUUCAAAUAUAUUAAUUUUUUGUUUGUACAACAUCCUGAGUGGUGCUUCUGUCAUACCAACAAAAAAUCUUUGUGUGAAAGUUUGAAAACAGCUACUGCUUUCAAUUGAAAGUAGGAACAAAAAGUGCUGAUUUCUUUUUUAGGUAUGACUAAAGCAGAUUAUGUGUUUGGAUCCCCUUCUUCACCUAGCCCUCUGAGACCAACUGGUACAUUUGUUCAGGCAGUGCUUUUACAUGAAGACAAAAAGAAACAAAAUACAACAGUUUUUUUGAGUCCCCAGUCAGGUAUGUGGGUUU